rnacentral:rRNA from 1 species
AUACGGAGGAUGCGAGCGUUAUCCGGAUUUAUUGGGUUUAAAGGGUGCGCAGGCGGGCGAUUAAGUCAGCGGUGAAAGGCUCGGGCUCAACCGGAGCAGUGCCGUUGAUACUGGUUGUCUUGAAUGCGGUCAAGGCCGGCGGAAUGUGGCGUGUAGCGGUGAAAUGCAUAGAUAUGCCACAGAACACCGAUAGCGAAGGCAGGUGGCCGGGCCUGCAUUGACGCUGAGGCACGAAAGCGUGGGGAUCGAACAGGAUUAGAUACCCUGGUAGACCACGCUGUAAACGAUGGACACUCGUUGUCGGCGACAGACAGUCGGCGGCCAAGCGAAAGUGAUAAGUGUCCCACCUGGGGAGUACGGUCGCAAGGCUGAAACUCAAAUGAAUUGACGGGG